GAUUAAGUUGUAUUUUGUUAGAGCGAGAUAUUUAUGUUGUUAAGUUGAUUGAAACAUCUUUUUGUUUAGUAUUGUUGAUAGAAUAAUUUGGAUUUUGGAAUAUUUGAUAAGUACUGAUAAGGAAAGUUAUAUUUUUAAGUUAAUAAAAGUAAAGGUGAGAUCUUGUACCUUUUGUAUAAUGGUUUAUCUAGGGUUAAGAAGUAUUUUAUUUCCCGAAAUUAAGUGAUCUACUUACUAACUUUGUAGCUUCAGUGUCGCAAAACUGUGCUUAGAUUUGUGGGUAGGGGUGAGAUUCCUGUCGUACUUAAUGAUAGCUGGUUAGCUAGUAAAAAUAUAGAAGUAUUGGGCUCAUGGUUUACUGUGGUGAUUUAUUUGUUCUGGUAACAGUGAGUAUUUAGACUAGAGAGGAUAAGCUCUUUAGUAAAUUUAAGGAAUCGGGUAGAAAGAAGUUGUUGGUUUGUGGGCUUAGAAUUGGUCAUCAUUUGAGAUUUUGUUAUAAAUCGCUGUAGUUGUGUGUUCUUAAAUCAAUAUAUUUUCCUAAUUGUAUUACUGGUUUUCUAGGGGUAAUUGUUGUUAUCUUAGUUGUUUCUGUUAAAAUGAGUAUUUUUAUAAAAGUGUUGUUUUGUUUAUUUAGAGGUAAUAAAUGAUCGGGGAAUUGAUGAAUAUUAAAAUGUAAGAAAGGAAUUCGGCAAGAAUUUGCUUCGCCUGUUUAUCAAAAACAUGUCUCUUCGUUUUUUUGAUAUGGGGAGUCUGGCCUGCCCGGUGACUAAUUAGUUAAACGGCCGCGGUACUCUGACCGUGCAAAGGUAGCAUAAUCAUUUGCCUCUUAAUUGGGGGCUAGUAUGAAUGGCUUGACGAAAGCAUAUCUGUCUCUCUUAUAUUUUCUAGAAAUUGAUUUCCAGGUGAAAGAGCCUGGAUUUAGCUAAAAGACAAGAAGACCCUGUUGAGCUUGAAUAUACUUAUAAGGGGUGAAUUAUACGUGGGUGUAUAAGUUUUGUCUUUUAUUUAUUUUUGGUUGGGGCGAUCAAGGAACAGGUAAAGCUUCCUUAAGAAAUUUUGAAACUGUCGGGUUUGGAUCCGCUAUAUGGUGAUUAAGGGAAAUAGCUACCACAGGGAUAACAGCGUGAUCCUUUUUGAGAGUUCUUAUUGAAAAGAGGGGUUGCGACCUCGAUGUUGGACUAGGAUUUCCGGAAGGUGAAGAAGUUUUUCAGGUUAGUCUGUUCGACUAUUAAAAUCCUACAUGAUCUGAGUUCAGACCGGCGUGAGCCAGGUCGGUUUCUAUCUUUAGUUUGUGAGAUAUUUUUGGCUAGUACGAAAGGACCGCUUUAGAUUGAAUAAUUUGGUAUUAGUGUAUACUAAUAAUUUGAGAUUAAGAGUUAUUA
rnacentral:rRNA from 1 species